rnacentral:rRNA from 1 species
UACGUAGGGACCAAGCGUUGUUCGGAUUUACUGGGCGUAAAGGGCGCGUAGGCGGCCACCGCAAGUCAGUUGUGAAAUCUCUGGGCUUAACCCAGAACGGUCAGCUGAUACUGCGGGGCUAGAGUGCAGAAGGGGCAACUGGAAUUCUCGGUGUAGCGGUGAAAUGCGUAGAUAUCGAGAGGAACACCUGCGGCGAAGGCGGGUUGCUGGGCUGGCACUGACGCUGACAGCGCGAAAGCUAGGGGAGCGAACGGG